AUUCAGAUGAUGAGUCCCAAAUAGGAUGAAACGGGCGUCCUGGAU
rnacentral:hammerhead_ribozyme from 1 species